UUCCAACCCGGUUCUCCCAGGUGUGUGAGAGGCGCUGCCUGAGGCGGGCAGCAGCCCACGGCGCUGCGUGUGAGGGGAGGGCGGGCGCGCAGCUUCUUGCUGUGAGAGGAAACGAUCGUGGGACGGUGGCACCUAAAAUCUAUCUGUUUGUGCAAAUAUGAAUCAGAAACUUGAGUCAGAAGUGAAAUUACAUUGAUCUCAAGAUGGAUUUUACCUUGUAAACACAGUGUGCAACGGAAAGUGAAGCUGUCAACUGCACUGGCACAGGAGCAGCAGUUAGAAAAACCAGCUUGCUACUGAGGAAAGUGCAUCAGUUGUAGAGGACAGAAACCUGCAGGGAAACAAGUGACAUCCGGUAUAUCGUCAGUCUGGUGUAAAUGCAAAGGGUGAAGAAGACAAUGACUAUUUUUACAUCUAUGCUAAAACCCAACUGAAUGGAUUUUUUUUUUCUUCAGUUUUACUUGUAAAAGUGGUGUUCAGUUUGGAAGUCUUGUUUGCAUAUUGAUUUGCAUGUCUAUAGUUGGUUAAUUUUUACUUAUAUCUUUUUAUGAAAACAGCUAUUUAUGUAGUGUUAGUGUCUCUAUAUAAGUAACACUUUGUACAAUUUCAGUUCAAGGUGACAUCUUGAGUAUGUACAUUACUCCAUAUUCCUUUUAUUAUUAUGUCUGCAAACACCCACAAAAGACAGAAAAUGGAUUUUACAUUUUAUCCAUUGGUCUGCUAAUACCCAGAAAGCCAAAUUUCGAAGUUAUUAAAAAAGAAAAGUGUUCUCUAAAAUAAUCUUUUCUAUGCAGAAUUGCAAUUUCCUUUCCUAUUUACAGCUCUUUUUUUUUUUUUUGAAAACGCUUUUGAAGGAAAAGAAUUCUUACUGUCAUUGUCAGUUUCACUGGAAUAGCCUUUUGAAUAUUGGGCCACAGUUUAGCCAAGGUACUGUAAUUAUACAGUAGUAAAUAGAAUAUAUGAUAAAAUAUAAUAAUUAAAAUAGAGUAGUAACUUUAAAAUGUAUGUGUUGUUUUUUUCCCAUGCUUGCUCCAAGAAGUUAUUUAUAAAUACGAAGUAUACCAUAGUAUAAUACUUUUCAUCUGUAAUUCAUGGAUUGGAGCACUUCCUGGCCGCACAGUACUAGUCAUUGUUUCUAUAUGCUAAACACACAGAUGAACUUCCUUACUGUCUGAGAGUUCAGAAACAAUAGUCACUGAAAAACUGUGGCUAAAAUAUAAUGUGCAAUAUAAUAUGCCAAAUUAAAUGGGUUUGUCUCAUGUUACCAAAGCUGGAAUGAAAUAGGAAAAAAAUUUAAUAAAAUGUGUGGGAUUUCUUCAAGUAAAAGCAAAGAAAACAUGAUAAUUAAAAAUUAAAAAAAAAAUCAGGAAAAGAGUAUUCUUUCAGAUACUGGCUUUACCAUUUUCCAGAAACAGAUAUAAAACAGGCCAAUUCAGGCAAUAUCUGUUUUCCCUCUGUGCAUCUCCUCAUCUUAUGAAGACUCUUCUGCGAGCUCAGUGGGAAGGGGUGUGGAGAAUGAAGACAGGCAGCGGGAUGGGGAAGAAGCUCCAGGGCAGAAAGGAGAUGUUGUAGGUAUGGGAUCCAACACGCUGUGUUGUCACUGCCAGCAUGGGCAGUGUGGCAGGGUGCUUCACAGUACAGGCAUCCUGCAUGUGCCUGAGGACUGCACGCAAAGACCCCAGUGUGGAAGGCCUGGAAUUGAAGGUGACAGUCUAAUUGUCCCAUAUCUGCCUGGUGCCUUGUGAAGAGGAAUUCAGACCACGAAGGAAAAACACCACUGAAACAAACAUGGGAGUUGCAGCCCUGUGCCUUCCCACAUAAGUCCCUAGUGUUCAGGCAGUCCAUUUGUCACUGCUGGAAGGAUAUGUCUGUUUUCCUGCUGGGGUAACAGGAAAAGGAAUGGCACGUUUGGUAGCUGUAAACUUGCUGGCAGGAAGGCGUGAGAUCUUCCACUGACAAGUCAUCUGUGCUGUUACCUGAAUGGAGCGUAGGCCCUGUGGUCAUGCCAGAAACAACGCAUUCCUCUAUGAUCCUCCUGGGUGCAGUGUCGUGGGAGCAGUGUCAUGGGAAUGGUGUCCCUUGUUAUCAAUACAGGAUGUUCUUGUAACCCUUGUUCUGCUGCUUCUUUCAGUGCUUUCUCACACGUGCACACUUCCAUCCCUACAACAUUCCUGCCAAUCUUUGUAUUUCUGUUAAGAAUCUCUCCGCAAGGACUGGCCUGGCUGGAUUGCUAUGGAUGUAGUUUGGGAGAAGAGCUGGUGUCCUAAAAGAGAUAUUCUGUUCCAUCCCUGGGGGACUUUGCAUAUAUGAAGUUUUCCAUAUGCCCAAAUUAGCUUUGAUCAAUGACCAGCAUUGAAACAAGCCUCAGCUUCUCCCUCUGUGGCAGAACCCCAAAACUAGAAAGCUUCAGGAGAGCCACACAGUGUCUCCAGUGCUAUAUGGCCAUAGGUGGAGAUAUGAUCCUUCUGAACAGGAUGGCUUCUGCCUACAGGUUGGGGUAGGACGAGUAUUCUGAACCUGAUCAUGAAAAUGUCAACUUGCAAAAGUUAUAAUUUGUCAAAAAAAAAGUAUGUGGGGAGCAUAUCAUUGUGCUGAGAAGCUUCAGUGCUGGCCUUAUGAACACAGCUUUGCUUCCUUGUGAGUAUCUCUACCUACAAGCCAAAGCUCUUUGAAAGCCAUUGAAAUUCCACUGCCAUAAAAUCUUGAGGGGUAAAUAGCACACUACCUGCUUGCAAGUUGCAACUGUCCAUGCUCAACGAAGUCUGUCAUUCCUGACAGGAGAAAGAGAUUUUGCUCCAUGAAGCUUUCAUAAAAGCUAAUAAGCCAGUAAGUGGGCACUUUUCCUUGGAAACUCUCCAAACUCCUUCAUGUACUAGGGUUUCUUUAAGCAGAUGUUGUCUUUUCUGGCAUUCAUUUUUCAGAAGUUUGGUGCCAGAUCCUGUUUAAGCCACGAAAAAAAAAAAAAUCUGUAAAGCUGUGUACAAAGGUAUCUAUGGGGAUGUCACUAUAAAAAAAAAUAAAAAAUAAAAAAUAAAACAUUAUGAUGGAGGCCCAUGCAGAAAUCUCAGAAGAGAAACACAAGACUGAAAAGGCAUGUAAGUAAACUCUGAAAAAUAUUUUGACAGAGAACUGAGAGACUUCUGCUUUUAGAAGGUGCACUCCUGACUGAAAUACACAAGAAAUGUGUAUCUUAAGUGUUUCAUAGAGAUCAAUGUUUUUUGUUUGUUUUCAUUUUGUAUUUCCAUACAAAAAACAGCCCUUAUUAUUUAUAUCAGAAAUAACAAAAUUGUCCUCACCAAACUACCAGUAGAUUCUUGCUUUGCGGUAUUAUUUCCUCCAUUUUGUUUCGUAGGGGCUCAGGAAUCACAGCAGUCAAAUAUUUUUUCUCUAGAACUGCAUUUUUAACAAUAUUCCAGAAAGACUACUUCUUAUAUGAUGUGUUGAUAGCAACACGUAAGUGCUAAGAAUAAGUAGAAGCUGAACCUAUGUUACAAUGUCUUAAGAACUAAAGAAAUGUCUGUUCUAAAGCAGACUGAAAAUUGCUGUCUUCAGAGGCAUUUGCACAGCCAUUUGUCACUGUGGAUGAGGAAGCAAUCUUCAAUGGGAUUAAGGUUUCUUGAACUUUAAAGAAGUGGCCAAUCCUUCAUCAAAUAUAAACACAGAGCAAGCUUUGAGCAGACUCUUGUAAAUGCAUUCUUUUUGGUGCCUCUUUUAACAAAAGAAAAUAAAUCAAUAAUUUGCUGUAUAAACCUUACUCUGUGGUUCAAGUUAAUUUCCCACUGUUCUUUUCUAGAAAUCUAUUUCUGUAGAAAAGUUCCAAGGUUCCUAGCAUUACAGAAUAAGAACAGGAAAAGCAUUUGCCUUUUUUCAGACCUGCACAUGCAAGUGUUAUAUGCUAAGGUUAGUCAUAUGUUUAACUAUCUCUACAAGAGUAAAAUAUUGGCCUAUUUUGCUCUCAGAUCUGUUAGGAAAAAAAAAAACAACAA